rfam:Glycine max cultivar Williams 82 chromosome 15, whole genome shotgun sequence.
UGGCUGUAGCUAUAUCAAUUCCAUUGCAGAAGCUAACUGGCCCGUUGUUGUGAUAUCCUUUUGGGGUCUCUGUCAACAAAUCUGCUUACCGAGCUUCUCACAUUC